rnacentral:rRNA from 1 species
UUAAGCGACUAAGCGUACACGGUGGAUGCCCUGGCAGUCAGAGGCGAUGAAGGACGUGCUAAUCUGCGAUAAGCGUCGGUAAGGUGAUAUGAACCGUUAUAACCGGCGAUUUCCGAAUGGGGAAACCCAGUGUGAUUCGUCACACUAUCAUUAACUGUAUCCAUAGGUUAAUGAGGCAAACCGGGGGAACUGAAACAUCUAAGUACCCCGAGGAAAAGAAAUCAACCGAGAUUCCCCCAGUAGCGGCGAGCGAACGGGGAGCAGCCCAGAGCCUGAAUCAGUGUGUGUGUUAGUGGAAGCGUCUGGAAAGGCGCGCGAUACAGGGUGACAGCCCCGUACACAAAAAUGCACAUGCUGUGAGCUCGAUGAGUAGGGCGGGACACGUGGUAUCCUGUCUGAAUAUGGGGGGACCAUCCUCCAAGGCUAAAUACUCCUGACUGACCGAUAGUGAACCAGUACCGUGAGGGAAAGGCGAAAAGAACCCCGGCGAGGGGAGUGAAAAGGAACCUGAAACCGUGUACGUACAAGCAGUGGGAGCACAGAGCAAUCUGUGUGACUGCGUACCUUUUGUAUAAUGGGUCAGCGACUUAUAUUCUGUAGCAAGGUUAACCGAAUAGGGGAGCCGAAGGGAAACCGAGUCUUAACUGGGCGUUAAGUUGCAGGGUAUAGACCCGAAACCCGGUGAUCUAGCCAUGGGCAGGUUGAAGGUUGGGUAACACUAACUGGAGGACCGAACCGACUAAUGUUGAAAAAUUAGCGGAUGACUUGUGGCUGGGGGUGAAAGGCCAAUCAAACCGGGAGAUAGCUGGUUCUCCCCGAAAGCUAUUUAGGUAGCGCCUCGUGAAUUCAUCUCCGGGGGUAGAGCACUGUUUCGGCAAGGGGGUCAUCCCGACUUACCAACCCGAUGCAAACUGCGAAUACCGGAGAAUGUUAUCACGGGAGACACACGGCGGGUGCUAACGUCCGUCGUGAAGAGGGAAACAACCCAGACCGCCAGCUAAGGUCCCAAAGUCAUGGUUAAGUGGGAAACGAUGUGGGAAGGCCCAGACAGCCAGGAUGUUGGCUUAGAAGCAGCCAUCAUUUAAAGAAAGCGUAAUAGCUCACUGGUCGAGUCGGCCUGCGCGGAAGAUGUAACGGGGCUAAACCAUGCACCGAAGCUGCGGCAGCGACGCUGAUGCGUUGUUGGGUAGGGGAGCGUUCUGUAAGCCUGUGAAGGUGUGCUGUGAGGCAUGCUGGAGGUAUCAGAAGUGCGAAUGCUGACAUAAGUAACGAUAAAGCGGGUGAAAAGCCCGCUCGCCGGAAGACCAAGGGUUCCUGUCCAACGUUAAUCGGGGCAGGGUGAGUCGACCCCUAAGGCGAGGCCGAAAGGCGUAGUCGAUGGGAAACAGGUUAAUAUUCCUGUACUUGGUGUUACUGCGAAGGGGGGACGGAGAAGGCUAUGUUGGCCGGGCGACGGUUGUCCCGGUUUAAGCGUGUAGGCUGGUUUUCCAGGCAAAUCCGGAAAAUCAAGGCUGAGGCGUGAUGACGAGGCACUACGGUGCUGAAGCAACAAAUGCCCUGCUUCCAGGAAAAGCCUCUAAGCAUCAGGUAACAUCAAAUCGUACCCCAAACCGACACAGGUGGUCAGGUAGAGAAUACCAAGGCGCUUGAGAGAACUCGGGUGAAGGAACUAGGCAAAAUGGUGCCGUAACUUCGGGAGAAGGCACGCUGAUAUGUAGGUGAAGUCCCUCGCGGAUGGAGCUGAAAUCAGUCGAAGAUACCAGCUGGCUGCAACUGUUUAUUAAAAACACAGCACUGUGCAAACACGAAAGUGGACGUAUACGGUGUGACGCCUGCCCGGUGCCGGAAGGUUAAUUGAUGGGGUCAGCGCAAGCGAAGCUCUUGAUCGAAGCCCCGGUAAACGGCGGCCGUAACUAUAACGGUCCUAAGGUAGCGAAAUUCCUUGUCGGGUAAGUUCCGACCUGCACGAAUGGCGUAAUGAUGGCCAGGCUGUCUCCAUCCGAGACUCAGUGAAAUUGAACUCGCUGUGAAGAUGCAGUGUACCCGCGGCAAGACGGAAAGACCCCGUGAACCUUUACUAUAGCUUGACACUGAACAUUGAGCCUUGAUGUGUAGGAUAGGUGGGAGGCUUUGAAGUGUGGACGCCAGUCUGCAUGGAGCCGGCCUUGAAAUACCACCCUUUAAUGUUUGAUGUUCUAACGUUGACCCGUAAUCCGGGUUGCGGACAGUGUCUGGUGGGUAGUUUGACUGGGGCGGUCUCCUCCUAAAGAGUAACGGAGGAGCACGAAGGUUGGCUAAUCCUGGUCGGACAUCAGGAGGUUAGUGCAAUGGCAUAAGCCAGCUUGACUGCGAGCGUGACGGCGCGAGCAGGUGCGAAAGCAGGUCAUAGUGAUCCGGUGGUUCUGAAUGGAAGGGCCAUCGCUCAACGGAUAAAAGGUACUCCGGGGAUAACAGGCUGAUACCGCCCAAGAGUUCAUAUCGACGGCGGUGUUUGGCACCUCGAUGUCGGCUCAUCACAUCCUGGGGCUGAAGUAGGUCCCAAGGGUAUGGCUGUUCGCCAUUUAAAGUGGUACGCGAGCUGGGUUUAGAACGUCGUGAGACAGUUCGGUCCCUAUCUGCCGUGGGCGCUGGAGAACUGAGGGGGGCUGCUCCUAGUACGAGAGGACCGGAGUGGACGCAUCACUGGUGUUCGGGUUGUCAUGCCAAUGGCACUGCCCGGUAGCUAAAUGCGGAAGAGAUAAGUGCUGAAAGCAUCUAAGCACGAAACUUGCCCCGAGAUGAGUUCUCCCUGACUCCUUGAGAGUCCUGAAGGAACGUUGAAGACGACGACGUUGAUAGGCCGGGUGUGUAAGCGCAGCGAUGCGUUGAGCUAACCGGUACUAAUGAACCGUGAGGCUUAACCUU